CCUACGGGUGGCAGCAGUCGAGAAUCAUUCACAAUGGGGGAAACCCUGAUGGUGCGACGCCGCGUGGGGGAAUGAAGGUCUUCGGAUUGUAAACCCCUGUCAUGUGGGAGCAAAUUAAAAAGAUAGUACCACAAGAGGAAGAGACGGCUAACUCUGAGCCAGCAGCUGCGGUAAUACAGAGGUCUCAAGCGUGGUUCGGAAUCACUAGGCGUAAAGCGAGCGUAGGCUGUUUCGUAAGUCGUGUGUGAUAGGCGCGGGCUCAACCCCCGGGCGGCACAUUAUACGGGGAGACUAGGGGAAUGGAGGGGGAACCGGAAUGCUCGGUGUAGGAGUGAAAUGCGUAGAUAUCGAGAGGAACACUCGUGGCGAAGGCGGGUUCCUGGACAUUAACUGACGCUGAGGCACGAAGGCCAGGGGAGCGAAAGGGAUUAGAUACCCCAGUAGUC
rnacentral:rRNA from 1 species